CCUACGGGGGGCAGCAGUGGGGAAUAUUGCACAAUGGGGGAAACCCUGAUGCAGCGACGCCGCGUGAGUGAAGACGUAUUUCGGUAUGUAAAGCUCUAUCAGCAGGGAAGAAAAUGACGGUACCUGUUUAAGAAGCCCCGGCUAACUACGUGCCAGCAGCCGCGGUAAUACGUAGGGGGCAAGCGUUAUCCGGAUUUACUGGGUGUAAAGGGAGCGUAGACGGCAGCACAAGUCUGGAGUGAAAUGCCGGGGCUUAACCCCGGAACUGCUUUGGAAACUGUGCAGCUAGAGUGCAGGAGAGGUAAGUGGAAUUCCUAGUGUAGCGGUGAAAUGCGUAGAUAUUAGGAGGAACACCAGUGGCGAAGGCGGCUUACUGGACUGUAACUGACGUUGAGGCUCGAAAGCGUGGGGAGCAAACAGGAUUAGAUACCCCUGUAGUC
rnacentral:rRNA from 1 species